AGCUCCAAUAGCGUAUAUUAAAGUUGUUGCAGUUAAAAAGCUCGUAGUUGAAUUUCGGGAUUCUACCGUUGGUCAGGCUAACAAGUCUGUACUAGUGAGUAGAAUUCCUACCUUCUGGGGAACUAUCAUGUUAUUUAUUUGGCGUGGUGGGAAACCAGGACCUUUACCUUGAAAAAAUUAGAGUGUUCAAAGCAGGCUUACGUCUGAAUACAUUAGCAUGGAAUAAUAAAAUAGGACGGUGGUCCUGUUU
rnacentral:rRNA from 1 species